AAUAGUGUUUUUGCUAAAUAGUGACCCGAGAGAGUACUAUACUUCAACCAUCUUGAUUGCAGAAGAGGCCAAGAGGAGCAAAGUACGCACCGAGAAAUAGCAUAUAUGAAUGUAGUUUUAGUGGGGAAUGGCAUGCUCAAGACUGCCCCAGGAGGAAGGACUAAGAAGAAUUUUUUGCAUGAAAUGUUUAUCAUCUUGAUUUCUAAGAAGAAAGCACUACGAGCUUUACUUACCCAAAAGAAAAUCCCAGGGGUAAAGACAAGAAUUCAAUGGUGUACUGCUAUAUAAAUCUAUUAUUAGUACAAGCUCACAAAGAAUUAUACUUCCCAUUAACCAA